GACGAACGCUGGCGGCGUGCUUAACACAUGCAAGUCGAACGGAAAGGCCCUGCUUUUGUGGGGUGCUCGAGUGGCGAACGGGUGAGUAACACGUGAGUAACCUGCCCUUGACUUUGGGAUAACUUCAGGAAACUGGGGCUAAUACCGUAUAGGAGCUCCUGUUGCAUGGUGGGGGUUGGAAAGUUUCGGCGGUUGGGGAUGGACUCGCGGCUUAUCAGCUUGUUGGUGGGGUAGUGGCUUACCAAGGCUUUGACGGGUAGCCGGCCUGAGAGGGUGACCGGCGACAUUGGGACUGAGAGACGGACCAGAGUCCUACGGGAGGCAGCAGUGGGGAAUAUGGCACAAUGGGCGGAAGCCUGAUGCAGCAACGCCGCGUGCGGGAUGACGGCCUUCGGGUUGUAAACCGCUUUCGCCUGUGACGAAGCGUGAGUGACGGUAAUGGGUAAAGAAGCACCGGCUAACUACGUG
rnacentral:rRNA from 1 species